rnacentral:tmRNA from 1 species
CCAGGUUUCGACGUGGGUCGCGAAGCAGCACAGGGCAUGUCGAGGACCAGUCACCUCGUAAAUCCAUCUGGAAACACUUUAAACGCCAACGACGAGCGUUUCGCUCUCGCCGCCUAAUACCGGCGAGACGCUGCACUAGCCUGCUGAUGGGCUAGGCCCCGCAAGGGGUGCAGCGUCAUUUACAUCAGNNNNNNNNNNNNNGUCAUUUACAUCAGCCUCUCUGCGGGGUCUGGCCGCUUGGCCCCGCGGAUCCGUCGAAGCGGCUGGCUGAGCGUCAGCCUGCCGGUCGGCGGUCGCGAGGCGAGAUCCAAAUGAUCAGGCUAAGCAUGUAGUCCUGGCUGUCUAGGGCUUGCGGACGCGGGUUCGAUCA